GGAAUAUUGCACAAUGGGGGAAACCCUGAUGCAGCGACGCCGCGUGAGUGAAGAAGUAUCUCGGUACGUAAAGCUCUAUCAGCAGGGAAGAAAAUGACGGUACCUGAUUAAGAAGCCCCGGGUAACUACGUGCCAGCAGACGCGGUAAUACGUAUGGUGCAAGCGUUAUCCGGAUUUACUGGGUGUAAAGGGAGCGUAGGCGGUCUGCCAAGUCUGAUGUGAAAACCCGGGGCUCAACCCCGGGAGUGCAUUGGAAACUGGCGGACUGGAGUGUCGGAGAGGUAAGCGGAAUUCCUAGUGUAGCGGUGAAAUGCGUAGAUAUUAGGAGGAACACCAGUGGCGAAGGCGGCUUACUGGACGAUAACUGGCGCUGAGGCUCGAAAGCGUGGGGAGCA
rnacentral:rRNA from 1 species